AACGAACGCUGGCGGCAUGCCUAACACAUGCAAGUCGAACGAGACCUUCGGGUCUAGUGGCGCACGGGUGCGUAACGCGUGGGAACCUGCCUUUAGGCUCGGAAUAACUCAGAGAAAUUUGAGCUAAUACCGGAUGAUGUCUUCGGACCAAAGAUUUAUCGCCUUUAGAUGGGCCCGCGUUGGAUUAGCUAGUUGGUGGGGUAAAGGCCUACCAAGGCGACGAUCCAUAGCUGGUCUGAGAGGAUGAUCAGCCACACUGGGACUGAGACACGGCCCAGACUCCUACGGGAGGCAGCAGUGGGGAAUAUUGGACAAUGGGCGAAAGCCUGAUCCAGCAAUGCCGCGUGAGUGAUGAAGGCCUUAGGGUUGUAAAGCUCUUUUACCUGAGAUGAUAAUGACAGUAGCGGGAGAAUAAGCUCCGGCUAACUCCGUG
rnacentral:rRNA from 1 species